AUUGAACGCUGGCGGCAUGCCUUACACAUGCAAGUCGAACGGUAACGCGGGGCAACCUGGCGACGAGUGGCGAACGGGUGAGUAAUAUAUCGGAACGUGCCCAGAGGUGGGGGAUAGCCCGGCGAAAGCCGGAUUAAUACCGCAUACGACCUACGGGUGAAAGCGGGGGAUCGCAAGACCUCGCGCCAUUGGAGCGGCCGAUAUCAGAUUAGGUAGUUGGUGGGGUAAAGGCCUACCAAGCCAACGAUCUGUAGCGGGUCUGAGAGGAUGAUCCGCCACACUGGAACUGAGACACGGUCCAGACUCCUACGGGUGGCAG
rnacentral:rRNA from 1 species